GAUGAAGAACGCAGCGAAAUGCGAUAAGUAAUGUGAAUUGCAGAAUUCAGUGAAUCAUCGAAUCUUUGAACGCACAUUGCGCCCCUUGGUAUUCCGAGGGGCAUGCCUGUUCGAGCGUCGUUAUAACCCCUCAAGCUCAGCUUGGUGUUGGGGCCUGCUGCACUGGCAGCCCUUAAAAUCAGUGGCGGCGCCAUCUGGCUCUAAGCGUAGUAAUUCUUCUCGCUAUGGAGUCCUGGUGGAUGCUUGCCAUCAACCCCCAAUUUUUCUAUGGUUGACCUCGGAUCAGGUAGGGAUACCCGCUGAACUUAAGCAUAUCAAUAAGCGGAGGA
rnacentral:misc_RNA from 1 species